rnacentral:rRNA from 1 species
CGUCGUCAGCUUACCCUGUGAAGGCCUAACAGUAAGCAAAAUGGGCCCGACCCAAAACGUCAGGUCGAGGUGUAGCGCACGGGGUGGGAAGAAAUGGGCUACAUUUUCUACCACAGAACACCACGAAUGGUACCCUGAAACAUGGAACCUGAAGGAGGAUUUAGUAGUAAAAAGCAAAUAGAGUGUCCUUUUGAAUUAGGCUCUGAGGCGCGCACACACCGCCCGUCACUCUCCCCUUCCUACUAUAAUUAACUAAACAUUCCUAAUCACACACACAAAAAUACGGGGAGGCAAGUCGUAACAUGG